rnacentral:rRNA from 1 species
UACGUAGGGUGCAAGCGUUGUUCGGAAUCACUGGGCGUAAAGGGAGCGUAGGCGGGUUUCUAAGUCAGGUGUUUAAUCCCGGGGCCCAACCCCGGACAGGCACUUGAAACUGGGAAUCUUGAAUAGUGGAGAGGUCAGUGGAAUUGGGGGUGUAGCGGUGGAAUGCGUAGAGAUCCCCAAGAACACCAGUUGCGAAGGCGGCUGACUGGACACAUAUUGACGCUGAGGCUCGAAAGCAUGGGGAGCAAACAGG